rnacentral:misc_RNA from 1 species
AAAAAUCAUCGACCUAAAGCAGAGAAGGCACUACGAUCAUUGGAUUACUUUCGUGGAAAAGAGCCAAAAUUCCACACAUUUUCAUCUUCUGAUGAGAAUACAAUUGAAGAAGCAUCCUAUUUUUCCAUGAAAAUGAUCAACAGAGGUGGCAAGGCUAAGAAACUAGAACAGUACAUGAAGUUAAAAGCUAAGGAUAUUGAGAGUUCGAACAAAGAA